UUGACCCGACUACUGACUACAUAGUAAACUAUUCAUUAUGUAUGUAUAAGGGGGUCUGAGCGGGACUCGGGAUUGUCGAGGCGUAUUUUUUGUUGUGCCGUGAAAAAGCGAAAUGAAGUUUAGCGGGACAUGGGAAAUUACAAAAAUAUCAGAAUUGUUCACUUAUAUAGUGUAAGCGUAAUGGCAUCAUGCGGGAAUCUAAAAAAAUAAAAAGUAACUAAGCGGGAUCCGUGAACAGAACCCCCAAUGAGACCCCCAUUAGUUGUGGCUUAUUUUGGUUCUUUUUAGUUCGUUUCUUUCCCCUACAUUACUUGACCGUUUUUGUAAAACAACAGCACUCGAGGACAAGAACUAUAGAAGGUACAGAGAAAUAAUAUACAGCAGAAAUGAUAGGCAAUGUAAAAUUUGCAGAAGCCAACUAAACCUAAAUGGUGAUCAGACAUCUCGGUUUUCAUGAUCAAUAGGUCAUUACUGAAGAGGAAACUUAAAGUUGAAAUUUAUUUACAUAGUGCAUAAUUGGAUUAAUUUGAAAUGGAAUGUGUGCUUUCCUGCAAAAAAGAAAUAGGAAAUUUCAACAUGUGAUAAUGACCAUAUAAAACAAAAUGGAGUUCUAUCAUAGAUACCCGAAAACACUAUUGCAUAAAAGCAACAACAUAUCUUAAUCAAAAGAAA